ACUGGGUUAGUGGUGUGGUGGGUUCCCAGCGGGCUAAAUGGGACAGCCCACUUAUUUUUUCUGCUGUCCAACGGGUGCCCACCAAGAUGAUUAAGUGGGAUGGGCUUAAUUAGUCCCACUUAUGCCCACUCCCACCUGCAGCCUGACUCGGAGACGUCAGCCAGGUUCUACUUUCCGUUCCGGUAAAUCACGGGUCAGAUCUCAGAUCGCUCCUUGGUCGGCACGAGUUGGUGACUCCCGAGGUGAACCAACAUCGCUGAAGAUUCGCCCAGCUAGCCGGCGGUGGGCAGGCCCUCGUCUGCAGAUCGAGCAGAGGUGCAAGCGGCAGCCCUUUGCCCUGCUCUUUCAUGUUGUUCAUCUUUCAACAUCUCCGGAUUUCUCUCCGUCCGGGCAGCAGGCGCGGCGAUCAAUGGACGACUAUCAAGGAGUUUAACCCGUGUUAAGGAGUCGGAAGGCCAAGGGCUAACAACAACCAGGUUGUCAAUUAAUUUGUUCACAGCGCACUGCGCAGCCCCACGCCCGUUGCCUCCGUCCCACACUCCGGCAUUCCGCUGGAAUUAUGGGCUCGUCGCCUCCAACGGGCGGCUGGUGUCUUAUUUGGUGCUCUUGGUUUUUAGCCUAUGAUGCAGGAUCUACUCAUGCUGCUACCGGCGUCGUGGCAAGAAUAUCUGAUGGUGAGUUUGUGCUAGCUGCUGCAAGGGGAUACGACAAUAUUCAAAAUCCCCUGACAGCUGAAACACUCGCUUUUAGAGAUGCAAUUACUGAAGCAGUCAAAGAAGGAUGGCAGCAUGUCCAUUUUGAAACAGCUUGUCAAAUAGGUAGUGGAGAAGCUAAGGAAAAUGCUAGUAACUUAGUUCCCCUUAAAGGCGACUGGUAUUGUUUGGUUGUUCCUUCACCAUAUGAUGCUUGAUUUGUAUAACUUGAUUCUGUUUUACCAUAGCAUAAAGUACCAGGCCUAUGACAUACUUUCCUCUUUCUCAACUUUAAUCUUUCUGAUGUCCAUUUUUUAACAAAAUCCAUUGAGUCAUUGUAUAAAUAAACUGGCUUGAUAACUUAUUUAUAGAGACAAACGCUUGCCACGGGCGUUCUUUUGUUCA